rnacentral:lncRNA from 1 species
AGCGAGCUCGGCAGAGAAUUAGCUGAUGAAGCUUACUGUAGUUCUUCCUCACUCAAGCUGGUUUGUUUUUUUGUUUGUCCGAAAGGGGGAAAUGAUAUGUUUUAAAAAAUACACCAAAUAAUGAUACACUAAUCCUCUUUUUAAUGUGAAAUUUAUAGGAUUGAACACUUUAGUUUCUUUGGAUUACAUAGUGGUCAUGUAGCUUUGAAAACAAUCGGAUUGAUAUACUAACUUCUUGCAUGAAGUGAAAUAUCGACUAGUUUUUAUUGGAUAAUCAAUAUUAAAAAAUGUUCUAACGUUGUAUUUUUCAUCAAAAUAAUCUGAAUCAUUAAUUCAAUAACUUACCGUAAAUAUUUUUCAUUCAUUUCCAUCCUUUUCGCCACGUAAUUUUACCACUAAUGCACGCCACAUCGACAAAAUGGCCAUCAUUACUUAACAAAUUUAAAAUUACAAAAAAAAUUAUUCCUCCCUCUUCCCGCGGAUCCGAGCUCGGCGAUCGACCAAACGAUUCGCUCCGGGAGACAGUUUUAGGGGUCUGGGCGGCGACGUGCUCGAAGGAGAAGGAGAGGAGAGCUUCGCCGGCGAGAAUAGCGGUGUCCUCGCCGUACUUCUUGUGAUUAGUAGGGACUCCACGGCGGAGGUCGUCGUUGUCCAUGCAGGGGAGGUCAUCGUGGAUGAGAGACAUGGUGUGAAUCAUCUCUGUGGCGCAGGCCAUCGGCAUUGCGAUCGAGUCGUCGCCUCCAACCAUCUCGCAGGCGGCGAUGCAGAGGACGGGACGGACGCGCUUGCCGCCGGCGAGGAGGGAGUACCGCAUCGCCUCGUGGAUUUUGAUCGGACGCUGAAGCGGAAUAGCCUCCUCGAGGGCCGUGUUGACCCGCUCGGCCUGAGGGCCUUGUUGACCCGCUCGGCCUUGGCGAUCAUGUACUCCCCGAAAUCGAAAUCGGGGAGAGAGGGGAGAGUUUGGUCGGCAAAUUGCAGGGGAGAGACAGAGGAUGAUGCGGCAGCGGCGGAAACGCGGAGUUUGAAUAGGGGUAAUUGGGAUAUGGGAUUGUUGUUGAAGAUGGAGGGAUGUAUUUUGAGGAGAGCGAAUUUGGGAGUGUUGAAGAUGAGAGGAAGAGAUGACGGUUUAAGCUGUAGAGAAGGAAGAAGAAGCCAUGGCUGCCGGUUGAAUUGAAGGUGAAGGAUGCUCUGUUUCUGGUUUUGGUAAUUAAACCCAUGAUUGAUAAGUGUUGUAGGUAGGUAGGUACGUAGGAAGACCAAUUGAAGUAUUGUUGGUCAGAUUUGUGGAGGGCGGAGUCGUAGGAGGUGGAGGUUAAGAAGACAAGGUCGACGGAAUCUCCAUUGCCGGAGAAGGGAUGGUGGACGAGAGGAGAUGGGAUAGACAUAGCUCGGCGGUGGCUUUUACCAGGAGGAGGAGAAGAGGAGUCGUGGGAGUGUAGAGGAGUAGUCGUAUUUAUUUUUUUCUUUUUAAUUUUUAAUAUAUUCAGGCCAAAAAGAAAGGGAGAGAGAGAGUGGACAGAGGAUUUUUUAAAUUUUUUAAUAUUUUCCUUAAUGAUUAGAUUGAUGAUGACGUAACGUGCAUGCGAGACGAAGGGGACGAAAAUGGAUAGAAAAUAUUAACGGUGAGUUACGAAAUUUGUAACAGACUAUUUUGAUGAAAGACACAACGUUAGGACAUUUAAAAAAAUAUUAAAUAUAAAGGACUCUUAAUAUUGAUACCCCAAUUUUUGUUGGAUUACUAGUGUGUCGUGUAACUUGAAAUUAACUUUACGAUGACUUCCAAUUAGAGUCCGUUAACUUUUCUAUUGAGCCAAUAACCGGUGUUGGCAACAACUGAUUAUAAACCUCAUUACUUGUUAUCAGCCUAUACCAAGUAAUUAAUCCCAUAGCAUAGGCCACAACAGAUUAUUGGUCUCAUAAUUGAUUACUGCUCCCGUAACAGAGUUAUAUUUAUAAUCAACGAUUCAGUUUUAUAGAGUCCCGUAAAUAGUUAUAGAGUCUCAAAACUAGUUAUAGAGUCUCAUAACCAACUAAAAGACUUAUAACAUGUGCAAUUCAACUUUUAUUGUGCAAUGAACAUGAUUCAUCGAGAUACGUGUUAGUUCGGGAGGUUCCAAGGAGCAAUGUUUCGAGCUUUGAUAAGUAAAGAGAUUUGGGAUCAAGACGGAAUCGUGGGCACCACUUUCCGAAAAGAGUAUUUCCACCCUACAAGUCUUGAGUAUCAGGAAAUUUCUUCCGAGGAUAAGACCGUCAACACUCGAGUUCUUAGACUUUAGAAAUUGGAGUCACUUAGAAUCUCGUACGCUAGGAUAGAUGUGUCCAUUUCUGUGUGUUUCUCCCACAUAACUGCCUUCUUUAUAUAUGCAAAUGAUACAGGGGUGAAGGGGUAUGAAUUCAUGCACCAAGUGGAAUCAUUAUCUCUAUGGAUAGACCUGAAGGUGGUUAAAAGGUAAUUACCUUGACACCCUACCGAUUUGAAGGGAAAACAACUCACAAUUGAGUUUGGAUCUCACGGAGAGGUGUGAGCCAAUUCGUCCUAGGAGAAGGAGUAACCACACCAACCACCUAACUCUCUACCAUCACUAUAGCUCAGCUCAGCUCAGUAUUGCAGCUAGUGACACUAGCAUCCAGCUCAAGUUGAGUUGGAUGAGCUUGAGUUUGAGUCCCUAGCAUCAACUAGCUCAUAGAGGAGCUGAUGCUAACUAGUUCCAACUUGCUCUGAGCUAAGGUGAGGUUUCCCGUGAGUCCAAGCAUCCGUACCAACCCCGGCAUCGCACCAAGGUCAAGGUCAAGGUGCUGCCAUCACAUCAAGGUCGAACACUAGGUGCAUAUUUCCAACAAUAUGCAGGCUUGUGAGCUAGUUACACAAGUUGAUAGGAAAAGAUAUGAAAGAUCAAAAUCAUCCAUAUUUAUCACAACGAGAAAUCAUACAUCCAAUUACCUAACUAGCAUUAGCCAUGAAAGGAUACAACCAUCAUUCAUCUAAUCUCGUUAUUAAUAAAUUGAUCCUAAAUAUAACACAUUCAAGUGUUCCAAAAAUUCAUUUGAUAUGAAUGAAAGUUAAGCAAGUUGCGUUAAGAUUGCACAAAAACCAAAACCAUCAUAAAGAUGUCACCUUUUCCUCCUUUACAGCCAAUGUUGUCAAUACAAAUUAGCAAUACAUCCGAAACUCCAAAGACAUCCCUAACAAAAGAUGUUCCCACAAUCCUAAAUAACAAUCAUAAACACCAAACUUACUACACCCUACAAUCAAACCCAAAAGGAAGAGCUAGGCCAACGAGACAUUAAGACCAAGUACUCCCCUAUUUCCGACAAGCAACAAAAACCAGUUACAUGUUUCAUCCUUAAACUAAACAGAAGACAGAUCUUCAUAUAUGGUCUUGAUCCCCGGCCUCUCAUUCACUGACCUUAUACACCUCAAAGCAAUCCCAAGCACUUCCUUCAUCCCUUUCUCAACUCCCGGAUUCCCCACUUCCUGCACCAUCGCUGCAUCGAUACAUUCGGUCCCACGACCUUCCGCCACCCUCAGUUUGAUCCAGUCCGUCAAGUCCACUGCCCCUUCUUCCCCCGUGAUCACAUCACCGGCACACCUUCCCGUAAGUAUCUCCAAUAGUAUGACUCCGAAUGCAUACACAUCCGACUUGAAGGAAGGCGCCGGUUUCUUAGAAGCAGCUAGCUCCGGUGCUCGGUAUCCUAGCACUCCAGCGUCCAGGAUUUGGACCACUGUGCCCGCCUGUGUCAUCAGGCGGUGCAGGCAGUAGUCCGAGACUCGUGCAUUCGGCUCGGGGCCGUCGAGGAGUAUGUUUGUGGCCUUGAGGUUCCCGUGUGGGACUGCGCGGUCGAAAUGGAGAUAGUUUAGGCUACGUGCGACGUCCACUGAUACUUUCAGUCUUUGUGGCCAUGUUAGAGGUGGCCCUCUUCUUCCUGGCUUAUCUGCACACAUUUUUAUCAUCAUGCCAAAAUGUGUUAUAAUCUGAUGACUAGACAAAUAAGUAUAUGUUGUAAGCCGUUGCAUCCCAAUAACUCGAGUUGUUGGGAAAAGGGUCAGAUUGGCCUUUCUAUAUUAUUCAUUAACAACAUAUACUUAGAAUGAAAGAAAACUACAUGCAUGGAUAGAUAAUUUCAAAUACUUUACCAAACAAAAAGCUGGCCAGACUUCCAGGAGAGAUGUAGUCUGAAAGAAUGAGCUUCUCAUGUUGAGUUGGCCCCCAGUAAUACCCUCUCAAUCCAACCACAUUAGGGUGCCUGAUGUUGGUGAACUUCCGAGCCUCUUUAGCAAAAUCCAUCUUCGGUUUCGCCACACCUUCUCUCAAGAAAUCUUUCUUCGGUUUCGCCACACCUUCUCUCAACCAUUUCACCGUCAAGAACACGCCAUUGUCAAGAGUUGCUCUGUAGGAAGUCCCAUGGCUGCUCCUCCCCAACACUUCAGCUGGAGCUCUUGACAAUUCCUCAGGGGUCAGAGUUAUGGCAUCAUCAAGGAAAUGCAGCUCCCCCACUAACCGGUCCGGUGACCUCACAUCGAGUCUUGCCAAAGAUUCUGUGGGCAAUGAUUCCCCACCAGACUCGGGGGACCAUGAGUACCGGCUUUGCUUCGAAGGGGAGGAGAAUCGUCCACCAGUUACUGAAGCUAGUUUCUCGUCGGGGCUAAGGAUCUCGGAUGAUGACCCCUUUCGAGCUGCUACGAGAUCCUCAGCAGAAACUACCAAUGCACCACCUCCACUGGAUAACUUGCUAAUUUCCACCGGGAAGAAUCAACUCAGCAUUCCCCGGGUAGAAUGAAGAAGUAGGAAAUGUCCUCAAGUUUUCCGGGACAACACCUGAAAGAUCAUUGCUUGAAACAUUAAAGCUUUCAAGGCUGUUUGACAAAUUGCUGGGUAUAGGACCUGUGAAACGAUUCUGCGACAGAUCGAGCAAGGUUAGUGAACUCAUGCCGGCCAUGGAAGUUGGCAGAGAGCCAGAAAUGUUGUUCCCUGCAAGAUUGAGCUCUUUUAGUCCAGCAAGCGACCCAAACCGAUCAGGGAAAUAGUCAUCGAACUGAUUGUGAGAAAGAUCGAGAAUUUCAAGGUCUGAUUUGCUGUUGGGUGGAGCACCAAACUCAAUAUCACCGGUCAAUGAGUUAUGGCUGAGGCGAAGUUGCUGCAAUGUCGCCGAAGUUAAUAGAUCAGAGAGUAAAUGUCCUUCAAACUGAUUGGAGCUAAGAUCAAGCACUGUCAUUUUGGAGUAUUGUGUGAUGGAUCUUGGAAGAGAGCCAGUAAGAGAGUUAUAUGAGAGGUUGAGAUGGUUCAACCGCAUAAGUUGAGAGGAUGCUUCGGGAAGUGGACCUAUCAGACGAUUCCGGCUAAGAUCGAGAUACUCAACAUCACCCCACUUCAAGACUCUGGAAAGAUUCCCUUCAAACUGGUUGCCAGAUAGAUCAAGGACAGCACAUCCUCCAGUCAACAAAGGAAGCUCUCCCUUGAGACUGUUCGAUGACAGAUUAAGUAUGUGCAGAGUUGUCGACAUAAUCGCAGUUAUCGGCCCUGAAACAGAUAUGGCAAUGCAAAAGUUCAGAAUUAUCCACUCGUGUAACUAAUUACAAACAACUAUAACUAGUUAUUCGGAGUUAAGCUAUGUGAUCAUCUGGUAAUAACUAACACAUGCAAAUAGAAGAAAGAACUAAACCUGAUAGAUUGUUGGCACUCAAAUCCAACUCGCUUAAAAGCAAUGAAUCUCCUUUCAACAGGUCAUUAGGAACGAACCCUGAGAACAUAUUGUUGCUAAGUUUAAGGACUUGAAGCUCGUAAGCAUAAUCGAAUCCAGGCAGCUCCCCAGAGAGCUGAUUGUAGCUUAAAUCCAACACCUUCAAGCUUGAGAACAAACGUAGCUCACUGCCACUCAACAACGAUCCAGCUAACUGAUUCCGGCUCAAGUUUAAGUACUUGAUGCUAUCAGAGAUACCUGGCAGCAAUUUCCCAGAACCAGAGUCCCCUAACAUAUUCCCACUGAAAUCCACAUAGCUAGCAUUUGUUAAAAGGAAGAACUCCCCAUCAAGAUGACCAUCAAGAAUAUUUCCAUGCAAAUCAAGCACCUGCAGACCCGAAAUCAGCUCGAAUCCUCUUGGAAUCUUCUUCCCCAACAGGUUUGAAGACAAGUCUAGAUAAACCAGGCUAUCCAUUCUGGUCAGUGAUCCCGGUAUUGAACCGGAAAGGGAGUUCUUACUCAAAUCCAAUGACUGCAGGGAUGCAAGUCCAGAAAUGGAGUCAGGAACUGGACCAGAGAAGUUGUUUCUAGCAAGAGAUAGGUUCCUCAAGCUCCCCAAUUUGCCAAUCCCCGAGGGCAAAGAUGAGUUGAACAGAUUGUUGGAAAGAUCCAAGAACUGCAGGACUUUGAAGUCUCCAAUGUUGUCAGGGACUUGGCCAGUCAUGGAGUUGUUGGCCAUGGAUAGUUUAACAAGCAUUGUGAGAUUGGCAAACACGGUCAAGUCUGCAUCAGCUGAGAGGUCCAAGUUGUCAAGAACAACUCCAGCAACGUUACCUCCAUUGCAGACUAUGCCAUUCCAGGAAGAAGGGCAGCCAUUGAAGUCUAUGGAUUCCUCGUUCCAUGACUGAAGAACAUAUCCAGUAGGGUCAUGCUUGAUACCCUUCUUGAACUCAAGCAAUGCCAAGAUAUCCUGGGAGGGAAGCUGAGCCAUGGAAGACAGGAAAAGCAAGGAUAACACUAUAUACCUCAAAAGCUUCAUCCUUUCCUUGCAGAAAUGGCUAAAAAUACCUCAGAGGCAGAAACCUUGAAGCCCUAGAUAAAAAACAAAAUGCAGCAAAACUUGAAACAAACUCGGUUGGAUUUGUGACGAACUUCACAACCACCGCAUCAAAGGACGGAUAGCAGCAGGUGAAGAAAGUAAAGUAAGCAAUGAGUUUGGUCCAAACAAGGAGUUACCUUUACCUUUAAAUGGCCUAAAAACAAGCUAAAACAAACGCCAGCAAGGUACUAGCGACCCAGAAAAGGGGAAAGAUUCGACAUUUUUCCCUCAGCAAAGAUCUCUCAACUUUCCAUUUAACAAUGUGGGGGCUUUUGAUGAACUUUCAAGGGAAAGAGCAAGAAAAUACAAAAGAUGGAGAUGUGUUUUUGAGUUUCUUGGUCACUCUCAAUCAGAGCAAGAAAAAAACCCUAAAACCAGACACACUCAGCAGCUGAGUAUAGUAUACUGAGUGAGAGUAGCAGCAAUAGAGAAGAAGGCUAAUGAGGGCAUUAGAGCAAACAACAAUGAAGUAGGAAUCAAUGCAACAAAAAAGAAAGUGGGCCCAGACAAAGCACUGUUUUCUAUUAUUAUUGUAAAACAUGAAAAGCUUAAAGCUCCAUUGAUACUGAGGAUUAGAGUAAACUUUACAGUGGGAAAUUACUGUAUUAGUAGUCUUUCGGAAUACACAAAACCUCCACUACCAAACGACUCCUUAACUAGUAGUGAAAGAACAGUUAAAUCAGUUCUAUAAACACUCAAAUUUUUUGCUUUUGAUUCUAUUGAAAAUGACAAUUAAAGAACACUGACAAAGUUGAAUGGCUUUGGCCUUUGCAAAAACUGUUGCAGCAGUGCAAGGAAAAUGACAAAAGAGCCCCUUGAAAGUUAACUUUGGAAGGUGAAAAAGACCAAAAGAGUGUCCUUUUUGGUCUUUUUGAGGGCGGGAGAGGGAAAGUGGUAUUGGAUUCCUCCUUCGGGCGGGUUUACGGUAAAAAGAUUAAAAAAACAAUUGGGAAGUGAAAAUUAGGGAUAUUCCCGCAAAAAAGGGAAAUGUUUGUAGAUUUAAUCCUUAAAUACGGCUUAGUAUUCGAAUUAGACAAUAUUAUAGGUUGAAUGAAUUAUUAAAGUAUUUUUUAGUAAAUUUAAAACAUUUAUAAGAAAUUCAAUAUUUAACAAAUUCAAUCAUUCUUAAACACUAGCCUAACAUUUAACGUAAAAGUCAAAGUCAUGGUGAUAUCCUAUACAUCCAACUGAUACUUCAAAUAUUCAACGAAUCGAUCUAAACGAAAUUAAGAAAUUUAAUUAAAUUAUAAUAAAAUUAAUAAAAAACCGGACGGACCAAUUUUCGGUCAGGUCAAACAACCCAGACGGACCAGAUUUCCGUCCAGGUGGUCUGACCGGACGGAACAUCGUUCUGUCCGCCAAACAAACCGAUGAUCUUGUAUCAAUCAAACUAGAUUUCCAACGCCGUUUCAGUUUAGUAUUUUUCACAUAACUGAUCGUGCAGAAGUCCGAUUAAUGCAAGACCGGCGAUGGUGAAAAGCUAGUUCGAUUGGCUACAACUUUCAUGUUUAUGCCGAGGUCAAAUUCCAGCGAGAAUAACCAGACGGACAAGAUUUCCUUCCGGGCGGUCUGACCGGACGGAACACCCGUUCGUCCGAUCUAAUUUAACUUUAGUGCCACGUGGAAUUUGGGGGGUCCCACUCACAGUGCCAUAUUGACUAGGGUUUGUUUACUCUAUGGGGUCGGGUCGGGUCAUAUUCAGUUCCCAAAUUCCAACAAUUAGUAAAUAACACACACAGAAGAGGUGAGUUAGGUGAAGCCAUGAUGACAGAAUGGGGUUUUUUUUCCAUGGCAUGAAUGCAAAUUGGAAGUGCCAAUCAAUGCCAAUGGGAACACCAUCGGUAUUUUUAUAUCGAAGACAUUCAGAGUUCUAAAUUUCAAAAUAGAUUGUAUUAUGAUUCGAGAAAGGUUAUCGCCAGAUCCGUCAUUGAUGUUGAGAACAUUGUAUGCAAGGAUCGAUGACCAAGCUUAUACCAGCAAAGAUUUGUUUUUAACUAAUACAAGUUUUUUUACUAUGAGGAAGUUUUGUUAUCGGUGAUAAGGACUAAGGAUAGUAAUCUAAACUAGAAAAAAGAAAUAAAGGUGUCCACAAGUGAUUGUGAUUUGUAUCGUGUUUGAAACCUCUAAAUGAUCGGUGCAAUAUAUUACCAACUGAGCUACACCAUGUAGAUAACAAAUUAAGGUUUUGUUUUGGUAGAAUCAAAGAUGCAAGGCUACGAUGUCCAUGAUGUUUUUUUGUUUUACAAAUCAGUGUCAUUAACUACCGUAGUUAAGACCGGAUCGUGAUCUAAAGACCAUUACUGUUUUUUUGUUACGGGGAACCUCUUUUGACAUUUGAUACCGGUUAAACUCCAUGUGUAAGUACAGGUCUCACACAAGACGGCUCGAAUAGUGCAGCUGCUUGAUUAACUUCAGAAGAACCACCAGUGGUCCUGGCUUGCCGUCAUUUGUCUCUGUAUAAAUCCAAUGAACCAACUACACUAUUCGAGCCAACAAAUGAGCCUCAAUCGAGCAGGCAAUCGAGCCAACUUUCAAGCCUUAAUCGAACUGGUCAGAUGGAGCUCGGCUUGUUUGUUAUAGAGACAUGUACAACUUUCUACCAGCUGAAAAUCUAGGAGCAAUGAUCAUCAUCAUUUGCUGCAAACCCGUGCAUUGCAAUAGUAAUUAAAACAAGUAAAAAACAUAGACAAGACAACGUCGUAAGUCGUAACAUUACCAUAAUUCCAACCACUCUUUCAUCCUCUAAUCAUUACUGUUUAUUACUGCUAAAACGGUUUCACAAAGGUAUAUAACACUCUGUCGAUGGGAAGAAACGAUCUUCUCAGAUCAAAAUCAUAACGCAUAGCUAAAUUUCAGGACUUCAUGCUCAUGGCGUCAUGAAUCGUUCUUACGGUUUUACACGUUCGAAGUCGGUCACUGGAAACCUAGCUCUCUCACUUCUUUCCACCUCCGGAAACAUUGAACUUGAAGAAGAUGAUGUCUCCAUCUUGGACAAUGUAUGUUUUCCCCUCUUGUUUGUACUUCCCAGCAGCCUGGGUUUCCAUUCCCCACAAUGACACAGAGGAAAAACACAAGUAUAUCAGCAAUUUUAAAAAACUGUGGAUUACUAGAAAGGAGAGCGAGUGUUUUCUAGGAUGUAAUUCUCCAGAGAAAAGCUCUUACCUUAACAGCAGACUCGCUCCCAUGUUCCUUGAGAUCCUCGAAUUUCAUGACCUUUGCAAACAACAAGCCAAAAAUAUUAGAUGCAGAAAUCGUUUCUGUAGUGUCUCUGACCAUAUGCCCAUUUGAUUUGUGAUUUUACCUCAGCACAAAUAAACCCUUUCUCAAAGUCAGUAUGGAUCGCCCCUGCUGCCUGAGGGGCUUUUGUCAGUCGCCUGAUUUGCCAACAUUUCACCUACGAAAGCAAAUCUCGUAAGAUACAUUAUCCAGUACUGGGACUUAAGGAAAUGCCGCAUACAAAAACUAUACAACUGCAGCGAAGUACAGUGUUGGGCCUAUCAUAACUCAUAAACAAUGAAUUCAAAUAUAGGCAACGAAAAGGCAAUAAAAAGGACAAUAAUCAAAGCAUUACCUCGUCAGGUCCGGCAGUGAAGAAGUAUAUGAGAUUGAUGGCAGAAAAGCCGGUCUUUACGAUCUUAGUAAGUGCACUGCAGAAUAUUCGGGUCAGAUUAGACAAAUCAAAGGUACAAACUAACAAAAUUUGAGUUCCCCAUCCACGAAUACAGAAGGAUAUAAUCUAAGAUUUAUAUGAGCACCAUAUAGAUUCUAAUAGUUAGCAUAAUUGAAAAAGAAACUCGGGGUGUAGUUUGUUCUUUUGACUGCUUCAACAGUAUGAAACAGAAAAAAUUGAACUUGCUUUACAAUAUAUAGAAGAAAGUUUCAGUAAUUGCUAACCUUUGUACCUUGUUCUCCUCGCAAUAUCUAGCUGCUUCAUCUGAUGGCAUAUCAGCCAGAUUCCUCUCUAACGCACAGCUAAAAGGAAUAAUGGGUUCACCCCCAUGCUCCUGCACCCUAAGAAAAGAAAUUGGCCGAUUACUAUCAGCAAAAAGGUACAAACGGCGAGUCUCAAUAGUCACAGUUACACAAAGUGAUGAUACCAAGCAUGAAUCUUCGGUAAGAACUUGUUCUUUUUCCUCUGGUAGUCUUUUUCAUUCAUGUUUACCUGUGUCCAGAACAAAAGGCAGAGAUAUAUUCAAAUCGACACACAAGAAAUAGCAAAAAGCUGAAAAUUGUAGAAUUACUGUACGAUGCUGAGAAAAAUGCAGGCCAGUCACAGGGCACAGUUCAUUCAACGAUAUUAGGAAUUGUGACCCGGAAUACAUUAACAUAAGAGGCAAGCAACAAUCUAUAUGGAAAGAUACUGCAAUCAAAUAAGGAGACAGCUAGGAAGUCCACAAUAAGUGAUCACGGUAAUAAUGGAAUACUAACCAAGUAAACAACAGGCUUGGCAGUGAGCAACUGAAAAGUAUUCAUUAUCUCAACAUCAGCAGCUUUCCAUUCACCAAGGCGCACAUCUUUUUCAUCCUCAAGCCAUUUCUUGACCUGAAAGGAAUAAUUUGUUCAAUCAUGCCAAAUAUACAAAUACAGGUAUGAAGAGAAACAAGAGCAAUUAUGUACAAGAAUAAGAAAAAUGACAAUACGAGGGAAAAGCAGAAAGUUCAUGAUGCAUUUAAUCAUUUCAUGUGAGUUGAUGUGAGUUGUAAAUCAAAGAGAACCCGAAAGAAAGAUUGAGAUGGCAGAGUACAAGUCUUGACACACCAUCAGAGCACUCAUUAGGUAGUUCUUCAGUAUCAAUGUGGACAAUUUGUAUUCCAUACACGCAGCAAAUAAUAACAAAGAAAGAGUCUCAUCUAGAAAUGAAUCUAAGCUCAUAGAACACAAACCCGUUGGCACAAUUCGAGCUCUAUCUUUAACUGUUUGUCAUUGCUCCUUUUCAUGCUCUUUUCAAUAUCCUCAAUCCUCCUCUCCAUGAACUCAACAUCCUAUGUACAAUAUGAAGAAAAAAGUUCAAAACAUUGCUUCAGGAACAUAAAAGAACUUCAUAAGACAUGCACCGCGUACAAACACAGAUACCUUUAGCCGCAACUCUGCCCCUAUAGUUUCCAAAUCUCUGACAGGAUCCACCAAGUCAUCAACAUGGAUAAUAUCUGAAUCCUCAAAUGCACCUAUUACACGUAAAUGCAACAAAAGAAAAUUAGAUAUGAGUGGGUGACACUAAAUGGAAGACAAGAAGAAGAUUCCAUACAAAGUACUAUAUUCAUAAACUGCUAGCACACUGAAUUCGAUAGGUUUCACACUCCCAAAUGGAAAAGGAUGCACAUAUUUAAGGUGGCUCUAGUAACCCUCAUCCUGGAAUAGCAAUUAUAUCUAUGCAGCAUCUCCUUCUUAGUGAUAACCCAAAAAAGCAAAUAUUAAAGCUGACAAGCAGCAGUUUCCUAUUUCUGGAGUAUUGAAGUAUCCCAAUGAAACAAGAUAACAUAAUAAACAACUUACGCAAGACAUGGAAGAUUCCAUCAACUGCACGGAUAUGUGACAAGAAAUUGUUGCCCAACCCUUGUCCUUGAUGAGCGCCUCUCACCAGUCCAGCUAUAUCAUGGAUUUCGAGGAAUGCAGAAACCUGAUAAACUGGAAAUGUUACUGCCAGGGAAUGAAAAUGCUUAACAGUCUGGAUCAUGCGACUAACCACAAAAAAAGCUCUCCAAGUCACCGACGAAGCAACUAGAAACCAUUUGGAAGUUGAUUGGCGACAUCAAUCAUUAAUAAGUACAUAUUCUCCUUAUCAACAUCAAUCCUUAUAAUUGCACUGCACAGAUAGCUAAUCCAAAACUUUUGCCAACCCAAACAAUAACAGAGAUGUAAGAAGAGAAUAACCUCGCUCUUGGGCUUGAACAACUGACAUAGCCAAUCAAACCUCUCAUCAGGAACAUUGAUGCGAGCCUCGUUGGGUUCAAUGGUGCAGAAAGGGAAGUUCUCAGCUGGUAUGGACAACUUGGUCAGCGUGUUGAAAAGGGUAGAUUUCCCCACAUUUGGCAAUCCAACCUGCAUCCCAAAAACAGCUGAAAAUUGAGUAAAGGCACAGCCACACAUCUAACAGAUAAGCAAGCGAGAGAAGGAGUGAUUACUAUGCCAAUCUUGAGAUGAGACGAGAAUCGGCCGAGGAUCGCACGCUCCACCGGAGCUUCUUUCGAUUUAGCGGAUUUGGGAGGCAUUUUCUGGUUCCGGUGUGGAAGUAAAGCUAAAGCAAGAUUACGCAGAGACGUCGAACUUCCUUCUAGGGUUUUGUACUGAACGAGAGAUGGAGCUGGAGCUAGAGCUGGAGCUGGGGCUGAUUGUGGUAAGUAGGAAAGCAAGUGAUAUUUCUUUUUACUUUCCAGAUUUCACCUUUUUACUGAGGAGUCCAACUAUUAACAGGGUAGAAGGACUGGGCCCAAAGAGUGGGUAGAGAGCCUGUUCAGGUUAGGGCUUCCGGCCUUUAAGAGUGGGCCUAUCUUGGUGAGUUCGGCCUAUCAUGUGUUUUCAAAUAAUAAAUUAUAAUUAUGUGAUGUUUUGUUUGGAGGAACUGAAAUUUAAUAGCUCAUUUUCUAGUAAGGUCGUCGUUAACCAAUGUAUUUUUAGUCUUUUGAUGUGAAAGAUGUCUUUUUUUCAAUUAUUUUAUUUGAUGUUUGCAAGAACACAAUAGUCAAUGAAAAGGAUAGGAUUUAGUAGCUCGGAGUUAGAGCCAGAACCAAUUACUGAUUUAACGAUUCAUCGAAUUAUCUAUCCACGACCGUUUCUUUUCCUAUAUACCCAUCUCCUCUUUCAAUAACGACUAUUUAAGGAUGGAAAAUCCAACUCGGGACUUGGGUAUCCAUCAAAAAUUAAUCAAUUGUGGGUUGAAAUUAUCCGGUCAAAAAGACCCGUUAACAGGUAUGGGUACACUCAAAACCCUAAAUUCUCGAAUGACGAGAGGGGAUGGAUUCAUAAGUAUCCAUCCCGAUAUCCACCCGACGGGUAACCCGACUAUAUAUUAUAUAUUUUUCCUUUAAAAUAUUAUACUUUAAUUUCAAAUUUUCAAUUGUUGGAUUCAACUCCAACUCUGAAUAAGGGUUCUAUUAUUGAAAAUUGUAUUUUUGGAUGCAUUUUUUCCUUAUCUUCCUAAAAAUCGAAAAUUUUGUAUUAUGUUUUCCUUGAAUCAUCAUCUAAUAUGAAAACAUUAAUAAUUUUUUGUUUUGUUUAUUAAAUAAAAAUAUUUAUAUUUAGUAAUCGGGUUUCUGAAACCCCUAACAGACAAGUACGAUUUAAAAUAUAUAUCUGUUUAUAUAAAUAAAUAAGUACAGUUAAAACCAGACGACUAGAUGUGUGAGUGAUGGAUAUACCUAACCCGUACACAUACUUAUCCGUUAUCAUCCUUACAAUUACCAAACUUUCUCCUUCUGAGGAUUCUAGAGUAGAUUGCAGCGUAUCUACAAGUGUAAACGAAGGAGAAGGUGGAUUUGAGUAGGUUUGAACCUGAAAAUGAAAGAAAAAAAUUUUAACCACUUAUGUAAGAAAGUAAACCCGAUAAAGUAUAAAGAGUCCAUUAUUAUUUUUAACAAGUACAUAGAUGAAAUACCAUUUCCCUUUAUGAUUAUUUUGAAAGUCGGGACAAAGAGAUAAAUGUACCACCAGAGUCGCGACACUGACAAGGUAUAUUCGGGUCCGGUUUAACUCAAAGAAAAUCAAAAGAAGGUAAACGGUGUUCUCAAAUGUCACUAUAAUGGCAUUCGAUACAAAAUCUUAAUUAUUAUGAAUAUUGCUAUAUUUAUUCGUCACGGUUAACAUGCUCGGGUCGGGUAUGACCCAUAUAAUCAUUGGUGAUUGUCCGAAACUUAUCCGAGCCACGAGGGCAUUGACGACAACCGCUGCCACUUCCCUUGCACGAAUCAAUUACAGCUCUUCCUGACAACUUCUCAAUUCCUUGUCUCCAAGACUGAACUAAAUCCCCCAAUUCCGAUCACUGCUUCCCUUCCGCGAGCAUCUCAAUUAUGGAUGGUCCAACACAUUGCAACGGAACCACACUAUCGUCUCUAGAUCAUGUUCGCCUCGCUGGAGCAGAAGCAGAAGCCGAAGCAGCAGGAGUCUCGCAUUCUCCUUCCGAAAAUGGUGGAACCGGAUCCGCCGGAGUCGUACUUGGCGUUGACGGCGGCACCACCUCAACGGUAUGCGUGUGUAUGCCGUUUCUGGAUUUGAGUGACAGCUCACCCGAUCCCCUCCCCAUUCUCGCACGCGCCGUCGCCGGUUGCUCCAAUCACAACAGCGUCGGAGGUCGGUUGCAGUCGAUCACUGACUCAAUUGUUGCUUUUCCUUUUUUGUCUUUCUUUUGAAAAGGAUGGUUCUUUUAUCCGAUCUGGAUUCUUCAGCUAUUUGAUGUGUUCCCGUGGAAUUUUGAAUUCUCUCUGGCAGUUGUUAGGUUUAAGCUACCGAUGGAAAUUGAUAUUGUUUUCAAACUUGAAUCCUGAAAUGAUCGGGUAAUCAUGUUACUGAUUUGAAAAUUUUCGUCCCUUUGUUUUUGUACAUUUUGAACAGAAACUGCUGCAAGAGAAACUUUGGAACAUGUAAUGACGGAAGCCCUUUCGAAAUCAAGCUCUACAAUGUCUGCUGUUCGUGCUGUUUGCUUAGGUGUGUCUGGUGUGAACCACCCGACUGAUCAAGAGAGGGUACUAAAUUGGCUCAGGUAUGCUGCAAUUUUGAAAUUGAUCUUGGGAAAUAGUUAUAGCCAGUAUAUCUUGGUUUCAUUUUCACAAGUUUUGCAUCUUUCAGGGACAUAUUUCCUAGCCAUGUGAAGUUAUAUGUAUGUAAUGAUGCUGUUGCUGCUUUAGCAAGUGGGACCAUGGGAAGGCUCCAUGGAUGCGUCUUGAUUGCCGGUACAGGAUGCAUCUCUUAUGGUAUUGCUGAUGAUGGUCGAGAAGCUCGGGCUUCAGGUGCAGGGCCUGUCUUGGGUGAUUGGGGAAGGUAUGUCUUACUUGGCAUCUUUUCGUUUUAUGGGGCUGAUAAGAGUUUCUUCAGCUUGAGACCUGCUUGCCUUAUUGUCCCCUAGGAAAUAAAUUUCUUAGUCAUAAGUAUGAACUAGGGAAUGCAUUAGCUGGGAAUUUUGGUUUUGAAAAUGAACUAGGCUGCUUUACUAUGAAACCAGCAAUUGAUAUGAGACAAUUUGCAGUGGAUAUGGAAUCGCAGCACGUGCUUUAACAGCAGUGAUAAGGGCUCAUGAUGGACGUGGGCCACAGACAAAGCUUACAAACAAAAUACUGAAGACACUUGGCCUUUCUUCUCCUGAUGAAAUCAUCGGGUAUGUAACAUUUACUUGCUAUUCCUUGUCGAUACAAGAUGUGAGAACUAUAAAACUGUGACUAAAUGGCUCUCGAACUAUUCGACUUCGUGUAGUUUCUUAAUGUCCGACUGGAUAGAUUAGGCUAACUAACACGUACAUUCCCUGUAGGUGGACUUAUGCGGAUUCAUCUUGGGCACGCAUUGCAGCUCUAGUUCCAGAAGUGGUAUCUUGUGCGGAAGAUUCUGACGAAGUUGCGGAUAAAAUUCUAGUUAACGCGGUACAAGAAUUGGCAACAAGUGUGAAGGCAGUUGCCGAACGGCUAAGUUUGUGUGGCGAAGGUGCACAAGGGAUCUGGCUAGAGCCUCUUAUUUUGUGGCUGCUUAGUUUUCCACCGUCCUUGCAUGAAACAAACUAAAUAACUUGUGCAUGACGUGAACCCUUGAUAAAUUUGCAGAUGGUAAAGGGCGUUUCCCUGUGGUAAUGGUGGGUGGCGUCCUUGAAGCAAACAAGGGAUGGGAUAUAGGAAAUGAAGUGAUGAAAUGCAUUAGGCGACACUUCAGUGGCGCUUAUGCAGUUAGACCACAGGUUAGUGCUUUUGGUGAUAUUCUUGAGUUUGGAGAAAUGCUCUAUCUGGCUUUGCAUCAUAUGAUUAGGCAGGCCUCUUCCCUUUCAUCGCUUUCGGUAGCUAAUUUGAUUAAAGCAUAUGCAGAUCUAUAAUUAAGGAAGAUUGUGUGGUUUUAUGGCGUAAAUGUACCAGAUACUACUUACGUUUGGCGUUCUGUCCAUGCUAACAACUUGUUGUUUUCCAGCACCAGAUACUACUUAUGUUUCUUAUGCAUAACACCGUUAGAUUUUUCUUGCCAAGUCAAUUGACAUGUCAGACUGUUUGUCUCGGUUUGACGAUGACAUGAGACGGCUGAUUGGAUUCAAACUCAUUACAUACUAAUUCUUAAAUCCUAAUCUCCAUGUGCUAAUCAUUGAUCCAAUCAGCCGUUCCAUGUCAUCGUCCAAACACUUCCAACAUGUCAACUGACUAGGCAAUAAAGUUCGUUCAUGAAAUCUCUCCGUUAGUAAACACAAACAGGGAAUCUAACGAUGCUAUGAAGAACGAGACACCAGUGGGUUAUCUGUGUGCCGAAUUGGGUUUACGAAAAGUGAGUUUGAUGUUAUUGUAAUCUAAUCGUUGUAACAGGUGGAACCUGCAGUGGGAGCAGCUCUACUGGCUACGCAUAACUUCAUUAAAGAAACAAGUUCAAGAGCUACAAGCAACUGUCGUAACUAAUUACCAGACAGAUACUCAUCUCAAUCAAAAUGGGAUAUUAUUCACUGUACAGAUACGCCCUUUGUCGAUAAUCUGCAGCACAAAUCAGUGUUUUCAUUGAAGAUAUAUAUUAGAGUCGCGACUCGGAGGUUAAUUUUGUGAAAUCUUUUAUAUAUAUAUAUAUAUAUCUACAGUUUGCGUGAUUAUAGUGGCAUGAGCUGCAUUUUACUCGAGGUAUUGAUGUUGUUGCAGUUUUUAAUUCAUUCCGACAGCUGCGGAAAAUCAAACAUAUGAGCUAUGACCAUGGAAGUAUGAAAUUGAGUUUUCGCGGGCAUCAAAGAGCUAAAUGAUCCUUACAAAACGACAGAAUUAAGCCGAAGGGUUAUCCGAAUAGAAAAGAAAAAUCACAAGCGAACAGAGAAGUACGGUAAACAUCAAGUUGAGCCAGGGAUCCGAACCAAUGGCUCCACAAACUCGAAAGCUAUUUAUGCACGAUGAAGCAAUGGUGAGUAGAGCUUCGUCCCUCUCAAAACCGACACAAAACGAUGAUCAUCAUAUCGAUACAACAAGAGCAAAUCCAGCGGCUAUCGUAAACAUUUGAUCUCCGUAUGUCCUCCAGUACGCUAAACCAUUUCCAAUCAUGGUCAUCCGUUUCAACAUUAAACAGUUUGGACCAACAACAUGAAUGAUCUCGAUCUCGAUCAUCAUCAUUGUACGACCAAAGAGUAAUACUCGAGCUUUUCAGAGCGAGCAUCACAAGUCGUCUUUCGGUGGUGGCGAUAUCCACUCGAAUUUCUCUUUACCGGGUUUGAACAAAAGCAACCUUCCUGAAGUACCAUCAGUCAACCAGUUCGCUCUCCCUUUACUCGUCACAGAAUUGGACGAUCGAUCAAGAUUUCAAUGGUUUGUAGGUCUAAGAAGCUCCGUGAUUCGGCUGUGAGCUUCGUCCAAGUCCUCUUCCUCCAACUCAGAACCUCCGCUGGGGCGGGACCACGAUGAUUCUUCCGCAAGACAAUCCUUAUUGACUUGAAAUCAUCCGACACAGAAUUGUACCCAAAUCCGUACAUCGCAUAACAUUUAGCAUACGACGACGGGAGAGAAGCAAAGCAGAACUGGUAGGUGGUUGGAUUCCAGAGAGACAUAUUUUCUGGAUUCCUAUCGCCAAAUUGUUAGAACAUGUUCAAACAGACUAAUCCAUUCCAUGAUCCCGCAUAUUUCAACGAGUCCCAAUCCCAACUAAGGGUCGCAAAGGGGAAGGAGAACCAAGAAACAUUACUAGUACUAUUACCCUUAUUACCGCAAAAGCAGGCACGGAAAUCCCUUCUUUCCGGCUCCCCGAGCCGGUAAGUGAGGAGGGAGAGUCCGGCACGAUUCGCGACUUGAUGGUCGGCGUGUGCAGCCACGCAAUAUGGGGAUUGAAUGAGAUGGUGAAUGCGUUUGGAUAAGCACUUGAAUCGUACCAGAGUCUUCGCCGGAAGUCUGACCAAGAUGUGCAAGACUAUGUCCUCCGGUAAGGAAGACAAUCGGAAGCCGUUUUCGACUGUAGAAGCCGGCCUUCUUCUUUCCUUUCUGUCCGGCCAUUCUUCUUUUCUCUUCUUCAUACGAAAUUUGAGAACAGAAGUUCUGAGAAGCCGCCGAACUCGGAGAAAAAUUGGAUUAGGUUUUACAGAGUUAUAUAUACAUUUUGCAGAGUGGUAAAUUACAGAAACAGUCACUACACUUUAUCAUAUGUCUCCCCGUUUUUUACAGUUUCAAUUUGAUUGUCAUGUUAUGACUGAGUUCAAUAUAUAGUAGAAACUUUACUUGAUCCCGAAGCUACGUUAUAUGUCCUGCUUGGUAUUUUCAAGUCUCGUUUGGUUUUGAAUGAACUCGAGUUAACAAAAAUCACUUCGCCUGUGAAAUUGCUUCUCUUCAUUAACUGUACAAAGCUUAAGGCCAAAGAAUUCAUCCAAACGAAAACUGCAACUUAACUAUCGUACAAAUGAUGAUUUUUCACUUUAGCCUCUACCAAAAUUUACACAGACAGCAAUGGAUUAUCCUCUCCAUUCAAACUGUCGCCUUUGUUCCACUGCUGGGUACUCGUCCCGUCGCUCUCUUCCACUUCUGACCAUCAUUAUCUUCCGUGGUUGUUUUCGAUUCGCCACUCAAUUCUCUUCUAACCAGCUUCAGGAUUUCGAUUAUCUGCAACAACAGCAAAACCAAGAUCCCAGCUUUAUUGGACUAGAUAUACACAGCAGCGUAACGAACAAGAACUGUCGAGUAAGGAGGCAGCUUACUCCGGGAUAGUGUUGCAGUAUUGGAGAAUAAUGGUCUAAUGCUAUGUAAAUCUUUUCCAGAAGGCUUAGAAGAGUGUCCACCUCAUCUCCCAGAAGGUCAACCUGAAAUUCACCACAUAAAAAUACAGCCCCCCAAUGUUGCAGAAAGAACACAACAGAAAGUAAACAGACAAACAGUUGUUUUUCUUAAAGGUCGUGAUAGUUUCAGGGUUUAACUGAAUCCAAUUCAUCCACAUACAAAAGGUUGUUUGGAUCCACAUUAGUCAAAAAGAUACAUUGUUAGGAAUGUGUAUAUUCUAUGGUUUGUAAACUAGAUAGAUUUCCAUUAUGUCGUCUGGAUAUUCUUGAAACGUCUCUAUGGAGAUACUUUGUAGAGAUAUUUUCAACAAUAUAGGGUCCAAACCACCCUUAAAUCAUCAACAUUUUCAACCAUAUAUGGCCCAAACCACCCUUAAAUCAUCAACUUUUUCUUAAAACCAUCAACAUUUUCAACAAUAUAGGGCCCAAACCACCCCUAAAUAUGCAAAAUGCAAUAAAGUAAACUAGUCCUAUGUCUGAAUUGAUGGAAGAUAUAUAAAGAUGUUCACGGAAAAGGAAAGUUCAACGGAAAAGGAAAGUUCACCAGAAAAAUAAAAGUAGAAAGAGACUGAUAGGCAUAAAGAUCAAACGGAAUAGUAGCCAUAGUUGAAAUGGCACCUAAGAUAUUGAUUUACCUCAGAUUCAGCCUUUUCAAGGUCAGUGUUCUUCCUCUUCAACGCCUCCUUGUACAGAAACACCAUUUUCUUCAGCCUGGCAGCCUUCUGAUUAAGACAACUCACUUGCGAGUUCGUAUUUUCCAACCUGCAUCAGAGUCCAUGAAAACUUAUCAUGAUUUCGCAUCAACAGCUAAGAAACUAUAGUUGUAGAUGUGGGGGCUCACCAGAAAAAGUGAUCAAACUCUAUCUAUAUACUUUAGAAAAAUUAAGGCUCACUUACGUUUCUGAUGAUAGAAGAUUCAGUAUGACUACUGAAACCAGCAACAAAUCAAAUGAAAGAAUCCAUGUUUCAAAUUGAAGAGCACAUACUGAAGAACGCACCUCGACCUAUUUCUGGAUAUAAUAUCUUCCGUUCUGCACUGGAAAUCGCUGACAGAUUUGGAUAAACCAUUCACAAGAGCAAUUGUUGAGAAGGUUUCUUUUUUCCAUUCCCUUUCUCUCGCCUCACACUGUGACAAAGCAUGUAGCCUCUCUUCAGCAACAGUGAUGAGUUUGAGUUUUUCGUCGGCAAUUUCCUUGGACUUCUCUGUAAGUAGCUCAAUUUUCCGUCUCAGCUUGCAAUUGUCAUUCCUAUGCAUUUCUACGUUCUCCAAUGCUUCAAGCAGCUGAUCACUAAUUACUUCCGAUUCUGACCUGCUUUGUGAAAUUAAUAACUGCUGCUCACUAGUAUGUGCCUUCAACCUAUCAACCUCUUGCGAAAUUAACACGUUUUUCUCCUUCUCUGAUCUCAGUGCAUCUAAUAUCUCUUGCGCUACCUUCUCCUUCUCAUCAAUUCUUAUUUCCAGUGUAACAAUCUGUCUCUGUAAGUUUUCUUUCUCAGCAACAUUUUCCAAUGCUUUGAUCUCAAGCACUGAUCGAGCUUCACUUUCAUUCACAUAUUUCUGGUUUAAUUUACAGAGCUCUCUCUCAGCUUCCUGGAAGGCUCCUCUAUAGAUGACAUCACAUAAUCCUUCCAUAAUAAUGGACUCCAAAUCUGCAUCUUCAACUUGACACUUCAAAACGGGCUCAUAGGUUUUACCUGCUUCAUUGAACAUACAUUCAUAAAUCCCCUUUCCAAUAUCAAUCUCCAAUGCUAGCUCUUCCAAAGUGCAUUCAUUCUGGAAAAUCGCCUCCUUGAUAAGGAACUUAUAUAGGUCAUCACUGAGUAAAGCUUCGAUGCGUGCAUCUUCUUUAUCCGAUAUAAGAUUUGCAAUGGCCCUAAGCAAGUUUGCUUCAGUAAAUGAACCUUCUGAAAUUUUUUCAGCAGCAUCAGAAACCCGAGAUAAGAGCAACUUAAUCUCCCUUUCUCUAUCUGCUAGUGUGUCUCUUAGUUUGUGAUUUUCUACAGAAAGGAUUUCCAACCUGUGGUUUAAAAAGUCAAGUGACUCUCCAACAUUACUCCGUGGAGCCAGUUUCUCAUUCUCCAAAAUAAUCCUAUCCAACAACGAACUAACCCCCGAAAUUUUCUUUCUCAGUUCUUCAAACUCCUUAUUAUCCCUUUUCAAAGGUAGACAAGAUGAUCUUUCUUUCAAGUACUCUCUUUUGAGGACGAAAUAUUCUUCUGUAAUCUUUUGCACUUCUGACUCAUGCUGUCUCUUCAUUUUCAUCAUCUCAGACUUAUAAUGGCUUGCUAAUUCAUCCCAUGUCAAGUGCCUUAAUUGUGAAUGAUCAGAUUUUUCUGGCGUAGUAACUUCCGAAUCUGCUCGUUUCCCAUUUCCUUCCCAAAGUGAAUGUGUCAAUGAAAUAUGACUGGACGGAAACUUCUUAUGGUCCAAAGACGCGUGCGAAACAAGCUUUCCGUUCUCGGGAACUGUCAACAUACGAGAAAUCACAUCCAAUUCUUCACGUAGACUGGACAACUCUGUAAUCUUUCCUUCGAGCAAGUUUGCACUAUCAUGAUUAUAAGUCUGUACUUCACGGAGAUCACUAACGCAAGUCUUCAUCACCAUUCCUUCGAUUUCUUGUUGGACUGCAUCUUCAUUCAGUUUGCAGAGAGAGUACAUAACUUUUCUCAAAUCUUGAAGACUUUUGUCCACACUAUCCCACUUAUCGGCCACCUUUUCAGGCAAAAUACCGCCUAAUCCCAAAAACUCAGGAGCUGAAGUCUUCUUCCUCAGAGGACAAGAACCUUUAACUUUGUCGAUUUCUAUCUUAAGCUUCUUUAACUGCUCACUAGCAGCCAAGGUAAGCUUCUGAACACAUCCUUGUGAACUAUCACAUUCACUUAUCCUAUCACUAUUAAGCUCUUCAGACAUUGUCGAGCCACAGGAGGCUUCGCAGUCGUUUAGCCUCAAUUGACGAGGAUGUAAGAUUUCUUUCAGUCUAGCUAAUUCCAAAUCUUUCUUAGCAAUUUGCUCAGCUGCAUCGUGUUCUACUGCAGAUACCAUGCCUUUCAUUACUGAUACAUUCACCAUCCUCGCAAUGGUAAGCCGGUUGUUGAUGUCGUCCAUGUAUAAUUCGAAAUCAUCGAUCAUAUCCAAAUGGUGAUUCUCCUCAACAUCAUUCAAAUGCUGCAUCGACUUGCCAUUACAUUUGACAGUAUCCAAAGUCUCUUGGCUCCCCAUCCUUAACUAAGAAACUGAAAAUUUUGUGAGAUUCCUAGCCAAAACUGCAGACCAGAAAAAACAAAAAGAAACCGAUCAAAACAAAGAACCUGGAAAACCCUAUUAGUAAGACAAACACAAAAGACAGCAUCAAUCAGUAGAUACACAAAGUUGAAAAAGGAUAGCAAUUUACUGAGACUCAAACCAAAAAAAGCUAACCCUCAGUUGCAAGUGAACUAAAAAAGGAAGCUAAGCUAAAGUGAGAUUUCCCAGCAUUAAAUUAGAAACCUAAGAACAAAUUUCAGCUUCUCAGUUGCCAAAUGCUCACUAUUCAAAUCGUUUCCUCAACCAGUAAUAACCCAAAUGGUUAAACUGAAACCUCACUCACCAGAGAGCAGACCGGACCGCUGAAAAGGAGGGAAGGGGAAUCCCAAGAGGACCGUUGAACCUGCUGGAAAAGGGUGAAAAGGGUCUCUGUUCGUGGCUGUUUUUUGGGGAAGUUUGGUAGAGAAUUUAGGGUUUUCGGUUGAUAAGAAGUUUCAGACUUUGGAAGGGGGAGCGCCCACCACCGCUGUCAACGCGAAUUAACCAGAGACAAAAGUUGGAUUCUUCUGCUGAGCGGGAAUAGAAAACGUGCGUAAACUUCACCUCUCAAAGCGGCUUAUUUACGGAUCAUGCCACUAUAUUUUGGUUUUUUAUAUCAAAUAAGGUUAAAAAUUAAUUUUAUUUGCUAUUAUUUUAGUAUUCAAAAUAUUUUUAUAUGUAAUUGGUGAAAAAUUGUUAGCAAUUUAAUUUAAAUUUUUUAUAGUCAAAAGUAGGUGUCACGUUAUUCAUUCGUCUUUCCGCCAGUGAAACAAAGCCUUAAUAAAGUGAGAUUCAUUCCUUUGAAACAUCAUUAAGUUGUGGUGUUCAAAUGGUGUAACUUGAAAAUACAAUCUUCAGAUGAACAUCAAAUUCUUGACAUUGAAUGGCUUUAGUUGUCUUGCUAUGCUGAUUUUCUAACUCUCGAGAGAACGUUUUUGCUAUGCCCAACCCCUAAGUUAUCAUAUCAUCAUUUGUGAAAUGUACUUGAAUCGAAUCCGAUACCUCCAGAGCUCGAGCAUUAAGCAAAGGAAGAACAACCACGGUCGCAUUGUCACCCCUAAAAGCUGCAUUGGGUUGAAACUUCUGAUGCUCAAUUAUGGCUGAAGCUCCCUCAGAAAUAUACACAGACCAUCCCAAAAUUGUACCUUUAUAAUUGGAACUCAGGGUUAUAGCAGAGAAGGCAAAAGGGGAAACAUCAAACAAUCAAUCAAACAGAUACAAAACCAUGAAAAAUCCUUGACUUCUCUCCUCUUCCCUCUCACCCCAACCAAUUCUUUUUUUAUGAAUGAAGCAUAGAUAAACAGCGAUCAUCAUAUGUACUCUCAUUGCUCCAGAGACAGCCACUCUAACUCUAGUUCUAACUCCCCAGAUUCGACGUUCUGUAGCUUCAGAAACACUUGCUGCUUCACCUUCCCGUCCUCUAUGUUUAUCGUGCUAUCCUCUAUCAGCGCGUUGUCGUCUGACUUCAACCACUUCCCUAUCUGCAUGUUCCCAAACAUCUCCGGGUCUCCGUACGCCAUGGCCGAGUUUAUCAACGGGUGCAGGUCUAUGUCCGCCUCCCCCAUUAUGUCAUCCGCUGAGAACGUGUCGUAGUCGUACACUUGCUGCAAUUUAGAAUUAGCAGCAUUUGUGGCGGGUUAGUGUUAGAGAAUGACAUAAAGAUCAAUAAUUAACCUUCUUCCGACAACUCUAGUUAUUGGGGGACUAAGCGGUUCGUGACAGACGGUUAUUCUCAAAUCGGUUGUUCAACAUGUGCGAGAGUCGUUGGCAGGAAAAUGAUGCUUACCAACUUUACGAUACCGAACUCUUGGGGAAUUGAGAGCAUGAGUUCCUCGUUCCAUAUCGGAUUCAGGUUGCUCGAUACUGCAGUUGUCUGGACGGUCUAAUAAACACAUACAUACACACAGAAGAAAGAAAAUCGUGAAGCUUCUUCUCUGCGAGGAUUGGACUUGGGAAAGAGAUUUGAGAAUGAGAUGACUGACCUGAUUACCGAGACUUAGGACGACGUAAGGAUCACUAGACAUCAUAUCUCUGACAGCCAAAUUUGUUCCCUUUACCACCUUGGCCUUCAAUAAACCAAUGAAUUCUGCCAUGCCAUCCUGAAGGUAGGGUUGGAGUUAAUUCAUCAAAUACAACAGAACCAUAGACUUCUGUAACCAACAAUUAAAUAGAAAAUGUCAAGUGAAUUCGGGCGGGAGUCGUAUCAUCAUAUCAGAUCAAAUAUUGAUCCUCAGAGUGCUGCUGUUUGAGGAAGCUGAACUAGAAAUUUUAACCCUUCACAAUUAUAACAAGUUAUUUCUAUUCACCUCCAUCUACGAAAAUGAUACUUUUAUUGCGACAUAAAAGAAAAUGAAGAGACCAGAAGACAGGACAAUCAUUACCGUUGAAGUACUUGUGCUACAGAAUGUAUCCACAAUCCUACUUGAGAAGCUUAGCUGGACAGAAGCAGACUUUCCUGACGUAAUCCGCAAACUGGCCUUCAAAAAUUCUUGGAGCUCAUACUUUGAUCUGCAUAAAAAUACAGAAAAGAAAAGUUUGAGCUGGAUGCUGUAGAACGAAUACAAUUACCAGAACUUUGAAGCAUUGAAGACAUAAUGACUUUGCAUAAUGUCUAUGCCCAAGGUGUAUCUUUUUACCUGAUGAAUUUUGCGCGCUCAUCAUGAUUGGCGUCUGGUUUGGGCUUCGAAACCCCGUCAGGUAUAUGAGCCUCGUAAAUUGAAUUGACAGCUGCGUUCCCUCCAACUUCAAUCAUGGAGUCGAUCUCUUCUUCGGCCCAGUCAUCCAAUGUCACUGACAAAACCUGGACACUCCAAAUUGAUGUUACUUCAGAAACAGCAAAUAGAGAUUACUGGAGCAACAAAGAACUCGUCUUUUUACACCAUAAAACAAAAAGAACUCGUCUUUUCAUCAUACAUGGUCUGUUUCACGUCAAUUUAGAGCAGUUACCUUUGAGCUACCAAGGCUUCUGUGCACACUACAGCAUUUUAAGCAUAGGAAGACUCCAAUGUUUGCGGACCUGAAGAUAAGGCCAGAGAUAAAAAUGCAAGUGUUUAUAUGCAGACUUGUUGCAAAAGGAAUACGUAACGCAUUCAAUAAUUAGAAAGCACAUAGGGCUCUUAAACUUACGCCCAUUUGGGAUCAGGAGCUCCGCAAUCUGCACAAUUUCGGUUAUCACUUUGUUGCAGCAAAUCUCUUAAUUUUCUUCUAGCUGUAAGGGAAAAUAUAAACACAACAGUUAGUUGUGGCCUGCAAUGAAAGUUUGAAGGCAGUUUCCUACUUAAAGCCUUUCUAAAGGUUCAGAUUAGAUUCGUUUUUGAGUUUCCCUUUACGCACAAUCAUUACUCAGCUACUUUUAAACAUCUCCGAGUCAAAACUAGUGCAGAUAAUCACUGGAAACAACUGAUUCUCACAAGGGGAAACAUCAAUCCAGGAUGCAUCAUCAUGACAGGCAUACCUGAAGGAUUUUUCUGAAGAUCUGAAAAACGGCUCAUUGCUUUGCUGAUAACCAAAGCUGAUCCAACAAAGCCUGCGUCUGGUACGUAAACACAGUUAAUCAGCACCAUCCAUCCAAAAUACAGCAAGGAAGAGAGGAAGAUUAAGUAAUGCUAGAAAGCCUAGUAUAACCAAAAAGCAGCACCAUCAUAAAGUUCUCAAGAACUAAGCUUCAAGAAGGCAAGCCAUUUCUGAAAUCUAUAUACCAGGAGCAAGCUAGGAAACCAAGAAACAAAAUCAGCACAUGUUCAGGUAGCCAAAUUCAACAAAAAUUGCUACAAAAAAUAGGCAUUUCAUCUCUUGAUUGCUGCUGGAAAAUUAGCAGGAUUCUGACAUGGCAACCGAAAACAAAUGUAGCGCAAAGUCAGAGAAAUCAACCCCCCCCCCCCCCCCCCCCACACCCCCUGCGCUCCUGCCCCACGUUUGCUUCCAUUGAACUACAUUUCCCCUCAGUUUACCAAAGCCAGCCCAUAAUUCAGAUUCAUAUAUACAGAAAUGAGCUAGAAUUCCACCAUACGUUCAUCUAUACACACGAACAAACGAUCCAUUUAGGCAAAGUGACCAGACAUUAGAAAAUCUCAUAAGCAAGGAUGCAAAAGAUAAUUUCUAAAUCAGUCGCCGGCCAACAUACGGUGGCUGGAAUUGGGUAUUAUCCUAUCCACGAAAAAGGUGAGGAAUUCGAGACGAUGGAAACAUAAUUUGCUGAAAUGAAAGAAAGGAGGAGAUUCAGCUGACCUGGGAAAUAUCCGGCAAAUGGAAUGGGAAAGUCAAAAGAAUAAUGGCGAUGGAUCUUCCUGCCGGCCCGAUGAGGGAAAUGUGGAGGGGGGCGGUGGCUUUGGAAGAAGGUAAAGGCGCUUCCUUUGUAUCGACGCAGCGUGUGGGGGAAUGUUGAGAUGGAGAAAAAGAAUUUGGAUUAAUAAUACAAAAUUCUGGUGGAUUGGUUUUUGUUGUUUGGAAUCAUUCUUUCUUUCUUCUGAUGAUUUUUCUCCAAAUACAAACCGGAAAGCUUCCAAUGUUUGAAGAAUGGGUUCUCAUUGUAACCGGAGAAUUGUUCCCAUUGUUUUUGUUAGUUGGUUUUCUGUCAUGUUUGCCACCUUUCUAUGACUUUAAUGGGUUGUGAGCCAGAUUCAAACCAAUACCGGUCAAAUUGUGAAUUUUUAUGUUGAUUUAUUAAUUAAGUGCUUAAAUAUUUUUUAUUUCAUAAUAAUGUACAAAAUAAUAUAUUAUUUUUGAUUGAGAUAAAUCUGCAUGGUGUCGAUGAGAUUUAUACAACUGACCGUUGCAUAGGUUAAUCAACAUCCAUACAAACUCGAGUCAACUAGGAUAUAAUGUUUGUUAGAACAUAGGUCUUUCGUUUCAUUACAUUUCUCACACUAAAACAUUUCAUCCUCUCAAAAUGGUUUCCGCUCUUGUUGAGAGCCGAUUUCCUGCAAACAAAAUACCUUCCAACUAUUUCAAGAGGAUAUAACGAUAACAUUAAGAGAGGAAGUUGAAAUAUUGAUUGGGUCGUCAACAGAUGGAAGGUCCAAUUUCAACUAAUUCCGGCUAUCCAAUUCCAUUUUGAUUAGAGUAGAGUCACCAAUUCUACGUUGAAUGCGACUCUGACAAAUUUUGUAAUUUCGACCGGAAUUAAGACAAAAAUCGCCAGAAACGACAUCUAAUCUUUCAAGAAGACAUUAAUAAGAUCCUCUAUGAACACUUCACCUUUGAUUUUGUAAGUGCAGCUUAAGCCCAUAUAGAGAUAGUAAACAAAGCAAAUAAAGCUCCCAACUUUGAUUAACUUAUUAGCACAACAAAGGGCAAAACCACCGGGAACAGACAGCUAAAAUCAGUUCUAAAGUACACAAAAUCCCACCAAACAAAUUCCCAAGCUCAGUUCAGCAAUGCCAACUUGUUUCCCACCAAUGAAAGGCGAAAGAAGAACUCAAAUCAAUCAGUAGACUUCCACAUGCCACUGCUUGUUCUUCUUCAGCUGAGACAGCUUCGCCUCCCAGCUUUCUCCUCUCCCUUCCGCAACUCUCUUCAGAGUGUCUUGAAUCCCAGGCAUCAUCCCUUUCAGCCCGCAGAAGUAGAUGUGAGCUCCCUCGUCCAGCAUCUUGAAUAUCUCGUCGCUGUACUCCUCUAUCUUGUCCUGGACGUACAUCUUGCCUCCAUUCUUGUUCUUCUCCUCCCUGCUGAGGGCCUUGUCAUACCGGAAGUUAUCCGGAUACUGCUGGCGAUACUUGGUGAACUCCUCGUCGUACAAGAGACUGUCGGUGUUGGCCACCCCGAGGAAAAGCCACGCCAAGCCUUGGAACUUGAAUGUAGGGACGGACUCCAUGAACAUUCGUCGGAGGUAACCCCUGUAGGGGGCAACUCCCGUGCCAGUUGCGAUCAUAAUGUGAGUGGCUUUUUGGGUGGGCUCCGGCUGACCAGCCUGCAUUUGUUACAUAUCCAGGAAAGAGGUAAUACCAGUUAUUUUAAUCUUAUCUCCAGGCUUCGAGUCGCAAAGGAAAUUGCUGCAAACGCCAGCCUUUGCAGGAUCCUCCUUCCCGGUCUCGGGAUCAUAGUAGACAGCACGACGAACACAUAAGCUGGCAGUCCUGCCAUCGAAAUUGUCUCCGUACCUAGUCGAUGCAAUCGAAUACAGCCGGACAUUAUUGGGAGCGCCAGGCUUCUUCGGAUUUUCACCCUACAGAUAAACCAAGUAGUAGUUGGUUAGAAACCCUAGUGAAAAGCCAGCAUACAAAGAGAGGUAUAAUAUGACUUACUGGUGGGAUCACACCAUAACUUUGUCCUUCCCAGUAAGGAACAUUGCCCCCAUGAUCAAUCAAGACAUGGCAGGUCUCUCCAGGAGCUUUAGGACCUACAAGCCUCUCGACAGAGACAAUGGUGGCCGUGUAAGGCUCCUUAGGCUUGUAAAUGUUUAGAGGUGGAUCUUUGGCACCCUCAAGUUCUAAAGGUGCAACCUCAACCUUGGAUUUGCUGGUGGCCUGUUGCACAGACAUGCACACUAUGUUCCGACUUUGAAACCGACCAUAUCUCGAUUUCACGUCCAACGACAGAGCAGGAGUCCAUGAUCUGUCACUGAAGCUGAUACUUUGUGUCUGCAACAUAAAUCAGAAGGUACUGCUCAGCACUUCGUGUCUGUGUUUGUGAAGAUCUUUGUACAAUUGUAUUCUCAGAUAUCAAUGUUUUGUUUAUUGAAAAAACAAUGUUGAGUUCGUGUAUUUCAGAAACACAUAUAUUCAUUUCACUAGAAAUUCUGGUUUCUUUCACAGUCUGAUUCUAUUUUUCGUCUACCAAAUAUACAUGUCAAACAAGAUAAACUAAAGCCUCCAACUUUUCACUAAUACUUUUCUACAUUUCCUCUAUCAUCGUACAUCCUCUAAUUAUUAAUCCUCCAUCCAGAACAUUUGAUCUCUUAGUGUAGUUAAAGAAGUUAAAUUUCUAUCCCAGUUUCAAUGCGAACCAGACAGGAAUUCAGGAAAUAAAUUUUAAGAGCAACAAUUAGUGUAAAUACAAUAGAUAUGUAGGAAAGGGACUGCUGAUCUUCUCAUAAAAAAGAUGAAAGCAACGCUACACAAAUGUUAUAAACUACCAAUACAAAAAAAACCCUGGUAGAAAAAAUCAAGAGAUUGGGGAUUUUUUCACCUUAAGAACUGAUCUUCUGAGACCUGAGUCGCUCCUAGCAGGAACAAUCGCUGCUGCAAUCUGUAGGAACCAACCAUCACGAAAUUCGUCAACAAAAAACCCAACAGAAGCAAACAUCCAACAGAGCAAAAAGAAAAGAGCUUGAAUUGAAAAAUGUUACCUGAGAAGCCGCCGCAGAGUGAGCCAUGACUGGUUUUGAACAGGUUGAUGGUACACUGGGGUUGAGGGGUGUAAUUUUAUACAGGAUCGGAUGGCGAAGAUGGUGUGUGGAAGUAGGGAAAGGGGGAGUGAUCGUUUGGAAGGUGGCAAAGGUCAGAAGUCAGGGAAAGUCUCCCCCUUGUUGCUCUGGUUUUCGUUUUUCAGCUUCUCAGUUGGCUCAAACCAGCAGCAGAUUCUCUGGAUCCGUCUCUUUAAUUGGCUUCUCGGCGAUUUAAUUAAUGGUUUAAUAGUGUGUUUGGUUUCGUCUGGUUUUACGGUUAUGUCCCUACCCCCAGCCACCUUUAUUUGAAUAAUAAUGUCUUGGUUCAUGGUUGGGUUGGUCAAUUUAGUUCGACUGAAGGAAUAUUCAUAUAUUGAAAUGAGAAUAAUGAGUUUUGGAUUUUGUAAUCAAAGUGUUUUUUUUGGGUAUGGUUAGAGGCGAUGAGGACAUUUUGAAUGAUAUCACUUAUUUCGAAUGAGGAUCAAUCACUUAGAGCCAAAUCAAAAUAUUUUUAUCGGUUUAAUUAGAGUCGUGGAGUCAAUUAUAUUGGAGCAUGUGGAUGUGGACCAUUGCUUACCAUGAAGACCGAGGUCAUAGGACCGAGACCACUAUCGGAUGACCUAUUGAAAGGUUGGAGUCAGUUGGGAAAAGUUCAAUGCGCUAGUUGAGAAGGCCACGACUUUCAUAGUGGUUGUGUCCGGGCUGGUCAUUAUCGAAGUGUCUAUGUCGUAUUUAACUGCACUAGGGCUAGCUCGGAGUAUAAUUGUAGGUUGCACCGUAGCCGCACCAGGGCCCACCCAACAUCACAAGAAACGGAUCAUUGUGUUGUAGGCGGUAUCAUUAUCACAAUAGUUUUGAUUUACUUAUCAAUUUAUUUUCGAAUUCACUUGCAGGUGAUGUAGUAAAAUGCUAGCAAAAUUACUCAUUUAAUAGUUACGAAUUUUUUUUUUUUAUAUCUCGCGAGUUAUAUGGAAAUUGAUAUUAUAAAACGAACAAUUGAUUAAAUUUGAUUAAUACUCUCUAUCUUCAUUUGGGAGAUAUAUAUACCCAACAAAAUAGAUAAAUAUCUAACAAACAGUUUAAGGUUAUUAGAGUUGGACCGGAUCUAUUGGGUCCGGUCCUAAUAACAACUAAGUGGGUUUCACGAAGAUGGGCCCACGAAAAGUUUAAUCGGACCACUGGUCAGAACAUUGAUGAUUCCUCCGACCCGAUCUGUCCAACAAGGAAGAAGAAGAAGAAGGGAACUAAACUAAGCUUGAGAAAGAUUCGAUCAAAUUGUCUGCGUAAUUCACCAGCAGGGGGAGGGAGGAGACAUUCCCCGGAGAGAAAUCCUCUCGGGCAAUCCUUGCUCCGUCGACGAGCACAUUUCAUUCGGCAAAGUCGUCCCGAUCAGAACUUCUCCUGAUCGCCGGAUACAAUGGCGGAUUCCGUGGGUGACAAGCCUCUCAGAAUGAUGGCGGUGGCUUUCAAGGAGCUUGAGACCACUGUGAACUCCUCCCAUACCUCCGCUGGAGACUUGGAAGUCGCUCCCUUCUCUCGCGCAGCUUCUCUCGUCUCUCCUCUCUUUGGCUGCUUAGGCAUCGCCUUCAAGUUCGCUGAAAUGGAUUAUGUUGCCAAGGUACGGCUUUGCUUCUCACUGAUUCAAAUUAGGAUUAACUAAUUCCGAUGUGCCUAAUUCUUUUCAAGUUUGAGCAAUCUGUCGAUUCAAUUGCAGGUUCACAAUCUCGUUGAAGCAUCGAAAUCAAUCACGACCUUACCAGUUAUGAUGGAUAAAGAUAUAGCGGGGAACACUGUAAGGAAAGCUGGAAGUCAUACCAGGAAUCUUCUGAGGGUGAAGCGUGGGCUCGACAUGGUCAAUGUGCUGUUUGAGCAUAUUCUUGCUACACAGUAUGCUCUCAUUUUCCCUCUUCUGUGAGAUCUUUCCAAGUUCGUAAUUUAUGUUUUCGAUUUCAUCAUCAUUUGUUGAAAGAUGCAUGAACUGCUAUGUGUUUUCACUACUUUAAGGAUGGACACUUGCAUCCGAUUACCAGUUUGUUAAGCUUAGUUGGUACUUGCUAUAAUGCUAUGCAUAACAAAAAACAAGUUGAAUGGUUUUUUCUUCACUUGGGUGACUCUUGCUCGAUUCUUCAAAUUAGUCAUGGAGAAAUGGGAAUCUUUGUAUUGAUUAGUGCUGCAAUCCGUUAUUGUAAAUAAAUAGGGAUUUCAACUGAUGUUAAUUGCUUCCCUAUGGCUGCAUGGAAGGGCAAAGCUUAAACCUUUAUUAUCUUAACUGCAGAGGGGAAUCCUUAAAGGACCCAGCUUCAAAGGCUUAUACUCAGGUAUUUGCUCCGCACCAUGGAUGGGCUAUCCGGAAAGCUGUUGCUGCAGGGAUGUAUGCCCUUCCUACAAGAACCCAGCUCAUGAGGAAGCUUAACGAGGAUGGUAAGUGCUUCGAGUUCUGAGUGAAGUGUUCUCUACUUUUCGUCAGUCGUAGUAGCAAGUACUUGACUUGACCAUUGAACAUACACUAAAGUAACAGUCUUUCUCAGUUUCCAGUUUGGUUUGAGUUGAGGAAUGAUCCUCAGUGAGCAAAAACCUGGUUUAGGGAUGACUAUGUUGCUGGGUUAGAAACACACCUUGGAACAUUUUGCUUAGUCAGUUCGAUUUAAAAGGUUCUGUUCACUGUUUGGAAGCUCCAAUUACAGCCAAUUAGAUUAGAUUAAAUAUCAGUUAUUAUGACUUGCGGUUAGAGCAAGACUUCUAGACCUCGGUCUAGAAAACAUAGCUUUUCUCCGAUGAUGAUGCAAACUUAUUUCUCCGUGGUUGACAUUCGCAGAGGCUUCAGCAAAGAUUCAAAUGCGGAGUUUCAUUGCUACUUCCAGACCGGUGAUUGUGUACAUUGAUAGACUUUUCCAGACAAGAGAACUUGGGAUAGAUUGGUGAAAAAAGCGAGCAAGAAGUGUCGAUUUGUUACAAGCGAUCUGCCUUUGAAGACGUCUACCCGGUACAAGUAUUCCCUCCCUCUUGAGUUGACCCCUGUGCUGUUAAUAUUCUUAUCAUAAAGUUGAAGGGUGUAAGACAAUGCUCCAAAAAAGAGUCGUCCCUGUUGUAUAUGUAUAAUCCAGGAUUUCCAGGUGUUUAAGCACUUAACUUUACAGUCAGACUCAUGUAUUUACUGGUUUGCUUCUUUAUACAUUGAAACAUCACGACUCUUAACAUUACUAUGAUAAAAGGCGAUUCUCAUUAGGUUCAUUGAAAGAGAUGGUUUGGGUGUAGUUUUACUGGAGCUGCCUGCUAGAUGUGCAACCUAUUUCGAAAAACAAUCGGAAUAGCUAGUUUUCGAAUCGGAAUAACUAGUUAUUUGGUCGUAUUCUUGUGACUAGUUAUGCGUCAAAUAACUAGCUACUUUCACACAUAACAAGUUAACGUGUAAAAUAACUAGUUAUUAUGUCGUAUGACUAGUAUAGGCGAAGUUUAAGUGUUUGGAACUCUUCAACAUUUUCUGUAUUUUUUCCAAUGUUCCACAUACAUUAAUGUUUCUGUUAUAAACUUCGUUGUACUCGAACAUGCUUCUCAAACCCACACCAAUUGAAAUACGAUGGAUAGGAAACAGAACAAAGGCAACGAAACACACACAAGCCCGGAAUCCAAAUAGAGCGAGAGUAAACACGAUCGACCGAUGAUGGAUGAACUCGAUCGAAUAUGGUUUAAAUAGUGUUGGCGACAUCGAGGACGAAUCUGUACUUGACAUCGGCCUUUGCAA